GUUAGCUCAGUUGGUUAGCGUGUGGUGCUGAUCACGCCAAGGGCACAGGUUCAGUCCUCGUAUGGGCCA